CUCUCUGCUUACAUUGCCUGUAGUUUAUAUGUGCACACAUCAAAGGCACCACUUGGAAAUUUUUCAUGCUUUCAUACUUCCAUUGUGUAACCUGUAUCUUGAUCGCAAAACAGAAUGAUAGCAACAAAAAACAGAACAAAGCAAUAGUGACCCUGUUCGUACUUCCUUCUUGUCACUGUUUGCCUCUCUGAGAGUUACCUAUACCAGACCUUUAAAUACAUAGAUUAGUUUAAUCUGUUUUUGGAUUCUUUUUAAAUGGAAUUUGGAUUCUUUUAUAUGUUUUUUGGUAGUCAUAUGUAUAUGUUUCUUGUGCUUCAUAUCCUAGAAAUCUAAUUGCUGGGUUGUAGAAUAUGCAUAUGUUUAGUUGUAGUGCACACUGCCAAAUAGUUUUCCAAAGUGGUAGCAAGAGCACUCUCGUAGCAGUGUAUGAAAGUUCCAGUGACUCUGUAUAUUGUCUGUACUUGAUAUUUUCCAUCUGCUUAAUGUUAGCCUUCUAGUAGGUUUGCAGACAUAGCUCAUUGUGGUUUAAUAGGCAUUUCUAUUAUGACGAAUAGUUGAACACAUUUUAAUAUACUUUAUGUAUUUGUUGGCCAUUCGACUAUCUGCUUUUACAACAUAUUUGUUCAGAUCUACUGCCUAUUCUUAAUUAAGUUGUCUAUAUUUUCCCUAUCUAUUUGUAUGCAUCGAAUACAAAUAUAUAUAUUUGAAUGUAACACUUUGUGCUGGGUAGAUGGUAGACAGGCAGGUAUAUAAUGUCCAUUCCCACUUUACAAAUUGCCUGUUUACUCUCUCUCUCUCUCUUUUUUUAAUGGCUGUACCUGUGGCAUAUGGGGUGCCACCUAUCCAGGGCUAGGGGUCAAAUCAGAGCUGCAACUGCUGGUCUAUACCACAGCCACAGCAACACCAGAUCCAAGCCGCACCUGUGACCUCUGCUGCAGGUCACAGCAAUGCUGAAUCUUUAACCCACUGAGCAAGGCCAGGGAUCAUACCUGCAUCUUCAUGGAUACUAGUUCUUAAUCUGCUGAGCCACAGCAGGAACUCCAACCUUUUUACUGUUUUAGUGGUGUCUUUAAAUAAAAUGACUUUUAAAAUUUUAAUAAGUGAAAUUUAUUUUUUAAUAAAUAGGAUGUUGCUUAUGCUAAAGGACGGGGUGUUUUUCUCUAAGACUUUUAUUGCAAUAAAUAUGUUUUUCCCCAUCAUCUGAAAUAAGCUGUACACUCUUAAAAUUUUUUUUCCUAUCUCCGUUCUCUACACUUCCUCUUAAUUUAGAUCAUGUUGUCAUAGCAAUAGUAGCAGACAGUGGCCUCAUGGUUUUUUCAGUCAAGAGAGGUAAAGAAUGAUGGCGACAUUGAUUAAUUGCAGCACCGAGUAGGAAUAAUCGAAUUGACCUUAAGGAAGAGGUCGGGCUGUGUUACUAUCCUUUCUUCCUGCUGCCAGAUUUUUAAGGGGUCCGGGUAAACAUCACCCCACUCUUUCUCUUGAAGUGUACUCAUUUAAUGUAGCCAUAACCUGAUUAAUUGUAUUAGAAGUAACUUCUGGAGGAUAAUUUUUUCCCCAGCUUUUCAGGUUACUUUAAAUGAUGGUGAGUCUUCUUCCUAAUGUUCCUUAGCUUAUGAUGAUAUGACUCCUUGUUUUCUUUUAUCCCUGCAAAGUAAUUUUCAAUCAAUUGUGUUAAUUAUCUUCAAUAGCUUAGAAUUACAGGAAGGGUUUCUAACCCGAUUUCAGAAAGGACAACGCUAAUCCAGAGAGGAACCUCUUCAUACCCCCAAUUCUUCUGAGUCAGAAGAGCUAGAAUUUGAGGUCUUGGUUUGCUUUUCUCCUUUUUUUGCUCCCUGAAUCGUCACCUUCCAUCUUGAAUUAGGAGGCAAAACAAAUUACACAUGUUUUUUCAGGGUUUGGUGAAUUAUUAUAUCCACGAAGUAGAUUGUCAUCGUAGAUGUAUGACUCGGUGAAAUGUUCAUGUGUGAUUUUACUCAUGUAACCACCUCCUAAAUCAAAAUAUGGAGCUUUCCUAGCACCCUGGAAGUCCUGCGCUCUAGGUAACCACUCUUCUGACUUUCACCACAUAAUUUAGUUUUGACCGCCUUCGAAUUUUAUAUAUAUUUAACCAUAGUAUCUGAUUGCUUUUGCUGAACGUCAUGCUCAAGAUAUCUGUCCAUUUUGCAUGCAGACAUCCAUGGUUUGAAAACAAGCUAUAUUUGCCUUAAUGGAAGAAGAAAAAAUUUAGAUCUAUUUUGUUUUGUAUGUGAUUGGUUUUUUUCUGUUAACCUGUCGCAUUCUCUUUCCUGAUUACAAGUUCACAGCAAAGGUAAGUAGAGGGGGCCACUCUUCAUUGAUAUUCCAAUGUGGUAGAGUUGACAGAGCCCUGAUUUAGCACACUGGAGCACCAUAGCGUGUGGCGUGAGCCAAAAAGACUGAAAAAUCACACUCUCCUCCUGUAAUUAGUUUUUAAAGCUUAGAGGGCUGUUUGGCGCCCAGAUGAAUAUCGAACCCAGUGCCCUUUGCAUUGAAUAAAGGUUAUGUUCCCUUCAUUACUAAAUGAGGCCCUUUUCUGUUCUUAUUUUUUUGACUAAGAAAUAAAAUGUAUUAUUUCCUGGCUUAACUUUGAAUAAAAGGGAAAAGAAAAUAGGUCAGGCCAGGGCUUUGAUAGAAAAACGAAAAAUAGCAAAUAUCCCUUUGUCCCCAAAGAAGCCGAAAGCAGGCUUUUUAGCCCAUUGUCUUUGCACCUGUCAUAUAUAUGUAUAUAUGUAUCCUUUUGAGAUCAAUGAAUAUCUGCUGAUAAAAAGCAGCCCUUCUUUCUGGAGAUGUAAUUAGCAGAAGCGGUAAGGUGUUGAAGUAAAGGCGGUGGGGAGACCAUGUGUCUUAGAGGUGCUGUCCCCCAAAUUUGUUACCCCCACUUCAUCGGGGACCCCCGAAUUUCAGAGAGUGAGAAUCAUUUCCGUAGACCCAGGUUUGAAAAUCCUUAGGUGGAUAGAUGUGAUUGGCAUGACCGGGAGGAGAGUAUUUAGAUGAUAGAAGUCAAGGAAUAUAUGAAACCUACAAAUGAGUCUCGAGCUCUAGCAUGCAGAAAGCAGAUAAAGAAUAGAAUUUCCAGAAAGAUCAUGUAAUAUAUUACAACAGCCAGAGUUGACAGUAAGUACCUGGCAUUAAACAACAGUGUUGGACAUUUUCAGGCACUGUUAUUCCCAUUCAACAGAUAAAGAAACUGAGGUGCAAAGAAAUUAAGUGACUUCCCCCAAUUUACAGGGCUCCUCAGUGAUGGAGCUAGAAAUUGAGGUCAGAUAUCCUGGCUCCCAGACCUACCACAGUGUGAUCAAUGAGCCUUAAAAAAUGGGUCAAGAAUUUGUACUUUUGGACAUUUGAGUUAUGCCUUCAUUUUUAUUGAUCAUCAGAAUCUUGGCUGACAUCCUAGUAAUUUUAUGCUAAUGCCACAGACAUUGAUCACACAGGUACUUUUACUAUAGAUUUAGUUUGUUAAAUGAUAAUUAAUUCUGCUUUAAAACCUAUUGUUUUGGGAGUUCCUGUCGUGGCUCAGUGGAAAUGAAUCUGACUAGCAUCUGUGAGGAUGCAGGUUUGAUCCCUGGCCUUGCUCAGUGGGUUAAGGAUCCAGCGUUGCCAUGAGCUGUGGUGUAGAUGGCAGACGCGGCUCAGAUCUGGCGUUGCCUUGGCUAUGGUGUAGACCAGCAGCUGCAGCUCUGAUUUGACCCUAGCCUGGGACCCUCCAUAUGCCAUGGGUGAGGCCCUAAAAAGACAAAAAACAAAAACAAAAAAACGAACUUAUUGUUUUCUCUUUCCUCUGAGUAAACAAUCACUGUUGAAAAAAGAUACAAAGGGGACAAAAAUAUAAAAAUGAUGUAAAACAAAUUAUAUAGGUUUCAAAUAGUGUGUGAUACAGACGUGAAUAAAGAAGAGAAACAAAAGGACAUUUUUAGCUCUUUUUAGUUGCAGAGUUCUUUAGAAGAUAACUAUUUUAUCUGGAGAAAUAUAUCAGUGAUGUGUUUAUCAAGACUGAUUUUGGACUUCUAUUUUUUGAAAUUAUGAACUCAGAGUGCUUAAAGAACAGCACAAAUAUUGUUUUCAAAGAGCAAGGCAAUUCCUAAGAUUUUAUUUGGCGUGAAUUCUGUGCUAGAUGUUUAAUGAAAAAGCGUCAGAAUAAAAGAAGGCAGGUUUGCAUUUUGACCUUCUGUGGACCCAAAGAGUACAUUGUAGACCCUCGGUAAAUGUGGGAUGAAAGAAAGUGAAUUUAAGAGUUCCCAUCAUGGCUCAGUGGUUAACGAAUGCGACUAGGAACCAUGAGGUUUCAGGUUCAAUCCCUAGCCUUGCUCAGUGGAUUAACGAUCCGGCAUUGCCAUGAGCUGUGGUGUAGGUCAUAGAUGCGGCUCAGAUCCCGAGUUGCUAUGGCUCUGGCGUAGGCCGGCAGCUACAGCU
rnacentral:lncRNA from 1 species